GAACGCGAAGAACCUUACCUGGCCUUGACAUAGUAGAGACCUUCCAGAGAUGGAUUGGUGCCUUCGGGAAUCUACGUACAGGUGCUGCAUGGCUGUCGUCAGCUCGUGUCGUGAGAUGUUGGGUUAAGUCCCGCAACGAGCGCAACCCUUUUCCUUACUUGCCAGCAUUUCGGAUGGGAACUUUAAGGAUACUGCCAGUGACAAACUGGAGGAAGGCGGGGACGACGUCAAGUCAUCAUGGCCCUUACGGCCAGGGCUACACACGUGCUACAAUGGUCGGUACAAAGGGUUGCUACACAGCGAUGUGAUGCUAAUCUCAAAAAGCCGAUCGUAGUCCGGAUCGCAGUCUGCAACUCGACUGCGUGAAGUCGGAAUCGCUAGUAAUCGCGGAUCAGAAUGCCGCGGUGAAUACGUUCCCGGGUCUUGUACACACC
rnacentral:rRNA from 1 species